GGCUAUCUCAGUGGUUAGAGCACGAGACUCCUAACCUCAGGGUCGUGGGUUUGAGCCCCAUGUUCGGCA